CAUCCCAGUUCGGAUCGCAGGCUGCAACCCGCCUGCGUGAAGUUGGAAUCGCUAGUAAUCGCGGAUCAGCAUGCCGCGGUGAAUACGUUCCCGGGCCUUGUACACACCGCCCGUCAAACCAUGAGAGUUGGCAACACCCGAAGUCGGUAGUCUAACCGCAAGGAGGACGCCGCCGAAGGUGGGGUUGAUGAUUAGGGUUAAGUCGUAACAAGGUAGC
rnacentral:rRNA from 1 species